rnacentral:rRNA from 1 species
GGUAGCGGGGCUCAAGCACACCGCCGAAGCCGCGGCAAUACCGCAAGGUAUUGGGUAGGGGAGCGUCCUGCAUCCGGUGAAGCAGCCGUGUGAACGAGUUGUGGAGGGUGUGGGAGUGAGAAUGCAGGCAUGAGUAGCGAUAAGGCAAGUGAGAACCUUGCCCGCCGAAUGACCAAGGGUUCCUGGGGCAGGCCAGUCCGCCCAGGGUGAGUCGGGACCUAAGGCGAGGCCGACAGGCGUAGUCGAUGGACAACGGGUUGAUAUUCCCGUACCCGUGUGUGAGCGUCCCUGAUGAAUCAUCGGUACUAACCAUCCAAAACCACCGUGACCAAUCCCUUCGGGGUGCGGCGUUGGUGGGGCUGCGUGGGAACUUCGGUGGUAGUAGUCAAGCGAUGGGGUGACGCAGGAAGGUAGCCGUACCAGUCAGUGGUUGUACUGGGGUAAGCCUGUAGGACGACAUCUAGGCAAAUCCGGAUGUCAUAUGUCUGAGAGGUGAUGCAUAGCCGUUUGAGGCGAAUUCGGUGAUCCUAUGCUGCCAAGAAAAACCUCUAGCGAGCCAACACACGGCCCGUACCCCAAACCAACACAGGUGGUCAGGUAGAGAAUACUAAGGCGUACGAGUGAACUAUGGUUAAGGAACUCGGCAAAAUACCCCCGUAACUUCGGGAGAAGGGGGACCCACAUACCGUCAACACCCUUGCGGUGGGCAGCGGUCGUGGGUGGCACAAACCAGUGAGAAGCGACUGUUUACUAAAAACACAGGUCCGUGCGAAGUCGCAAGACGAUGUAUACGGACUGACGCCUGCCCGGUGCUGGAAGGUUAAGAGGACCGGUUAACCCUUCGGGGUGAAGCUGAGAAUUUAAGCCCCAGUAAACGGCGGUGGUAACUAUAACCAUCCUAAGGUAGCGAAAUUCCUUGUCGGGUAAGUUCCGACCUGCUCGAAUGGCGUAACGACUUCUCAACUGUCUCAACCAUAGACUCGGCGAAAUUGCACUACGAGUAAAGAUGCUCGUUACGCGCGGCAGGACGAAAAGACCCCGGGACCUUCACUACAACUUGGUAUUGAUGUUCGGUACGGUUUGUGUAGGAUAGGUGGGAGACUGUGAAGCGGGCACGCCAGUGUUUGUGGAGUCAUUGUUGAAAUACCACUCUGAUCGUAUUGGACCUCUAACCUCGGACCGCAUAUCCGGUCCAGGAACAGUGCCUGGUGGGUAGUUUAACUGGGGCGGUUGCCUCCUAAAAUGUAACGGAGGCGCCCAAAGGUUCCCUCAACCUGGACGGCAAUCAGGUGUUGAGUGUAAGUGCACAAGGGAGCUUGACUGCGAGACUUACAGGUCGAGCAGGGACGAAAGUCGGGACUAGUGAUCCGGCACCUCUGAGUGGAAGGGGUGUCGCUCAACGGAUAAAAGGUACCCCGGGGAAAAAAA